GAGCAACGCCGCGUGAGUGAUGAAGGUCUUCGGAUCGUAAAACUCUGUUAUUAGGGAAGAACAUAUGUGUAAGUAACUGUGCACAUCUUGACGGUACCUAAUCAGAAAGCCACGGCUAACUACGUGCCAGCAGCCGCGGUAAUACGUAGGUGGCAAGCGUUAUCCGGAAUUAUUGGGCGUAAAGCGCGCGUAGGCGGUUUUUUAAGUCUGAUGUGAAAGCCCACGGCUCAACCGUGGAGGGUCAUUGGAAACUGGAAAACUUGAGUGCAGAAGAGGAAAGUGGAAUUCCAUGUGUAGCGGUGAAAUGCGCAGAGAUAUGGAGGAACACCAGUGGCGAAGGCGACUUUCUGGUCUGUAACUGACGCUGAUGUGCGAAAGCGUGGGGAUCAAACAGGAUUAGAUACCCUGGUAGUCCACGCCGUAAACGAUGAGU
rnacentral:rRNA from 1 species